AGGACGAACGCUGGCGGCGUGCUUAACACAUGCAAGUGGAGCGACGAACCAGGGCUUGCCCUGGGGCAGAGCCGCGAACGGGUGAGUAACACGUGGGUAACGUGCCCCAAUGACUGGGACAACCCGGGGAAACCCGGGCUAAUACCGGAUAUGCCCCCCCGACCUCGGUCGGGUGUGUAAAGGAAGCUUCGGCCUCCGCAUUGGGAUCGGCCCGCGGCGCAUUAGCUUGUUGGUGAGGUAAUGGCUUACCAAGGCAACGAUCC
rnacentral:rRNA from 1 species